AAAAACAAUUCUUACAUAAUGUAUAUUUUUUAACAAUUUGCUGACUAAAUGAAUUGUUUUGAAGCAUUUUAUCUGAAUAAAAGCAGAUCAUAGAGUUAUUUCCACUUUUGAGGAUGGUAAAAUCUAAGAUGGGCAAAAUAGAGAUAUUUUGGGCAAAACCAACAUGGCUGAAACAAUAUGUCCAUAAAUAGGCUGCUCCCGGAAAAGUUAGCACGGUGACCUAUGUUUUUUUUGUAUUUU
rnacentral:lncRNA from 1 species